AACGCACCUUGCACCCUCUGGUAUUCCGGAGGGUAUGCCUGUCUGAGUGUCACGUAACCUCGUGCAGUCGGGAGACCGACGGCACGGACUUGGGUGUUGCCCUCCGGGGCUCGCCUCAAUAGCAUCGGUGGGGAUAAGCGUUGUAUGUAUCGCUGGCCCUGCCUUACACCGCCCGGGCUCACGCCCGGGAGCCUCACGGCACGUACACAGACCUCAGAUCAGGUAGGACUACCCGCUGAACUUAA
rnacentral:misc_RNA from 1 species